rnacentral:rRNA from 1 species
AGACGCUGGCGGCGUGCCUAACACAUGCAAGUCGAACGGAGUUCUUAAGGAAUGCGGCUUCGGUCAAAUGACUUUUGAACUUAGUGGCGGACGGGUGAGUAACGCGUGAGCAACCUGCCUUUCAGAGGGGGAUAACAUUUGGAAACAGAUGCUAAGACCGGAUAGGUACACAGACCGCAUGGUCUGUGUAUUAAAGGAGAGAGACACUGGUGGAUGGGCUUACGGUGCAUUAGCUGGAUGGUGAGGUAACGGCCCACCAUGGCGAUGAUGCAUAGCCGGGCUGAGAGGCUGAACGGCCACAUUGGGACUGAGACACGGCCCAGACUCCUACGGGAGGCAGCAGUCGGGAAUAUUGCGCAAUGGAGGAAACUCUGACGCAGUGACGCCGCGUAUAGGAAGAAGGUUUUCGGAUUGUAAACUAUUGUCGUUAGGGAAGAAAAAGGACAGUACCUAAGGAGGAAGCUCCGGCUAACUACGUG